rnacentral:guide_RNA from 1 species
AAAACAUCAACAGUGAGAAGUGGGAAGAUAGUAAGUUAUAU